GAUGAACGCUGGCGGCGUGCCUAAUACAUGCAAGUCGAGCGAACGGACGAGAAGCUUGCUUCUCUGAUGUUAGCGGCGGACGGGUGAGUAACACGUGGAUAACCUACCUAUAAGACUGGGAUAACUUCGGGAAACCGGAGCUAAUACCGGAUAAUAUUUUGAACCGCAUGGUUCAAAAGUGAAAGACGGUCUUGCUGUCACUUAUAGAUGGAUCCGCGCUGCAUUAGCUAGUUGGUAAGGUAACGGCUUACCAAGGCAACGAGGCAUAGCCGACCUGAGAGGGUGAUCGGCCACACUGGAACUGAGACACGGUCCAGACUCCUACGGGAGGGAGCAGUAGGGAAUCUUCCGCAAUGGGGGGAAGCCUGACGGAGCAACGCCGCGUGAGUGAUGGAGGUCUUCGGAUCGUAAAACUGUGUUAUUAGGGAAGAACAUAUGUGUAAGUAACUGUGCACAUCUUGACGGUACCUAAUCAGAAAGCCACGGCUAACUACGUG
rnacentral:rRNA from 1 species